CAAUAGCGUAUAUUUAAGUUGUUGCAGUUAAAGAGCUCGUAGUCGGAUUUUGGCUGAGAACGAACGGUCCGCCGUUAGGUGUGCACUGUUUGGUCUCAGCUUCCUGGUGAGGAGGUGUGCUUCACGGCCACUUAGUCACCGUGGUUACUUUGAAAAAAUUAGAGUGUUCAAAGCGGGCUUACGCUUGAAUAUAUUAGCAUGGAAUAACACCAUAGGACUCCUGUCCUAUUUCGUUGGUCUCGGGACGGGAGUAAUGAUUAAGAGGAACAGUUGGGGGCAUUCGUAUUUCAUUGUCAGAGGUGAAAUUCUUGGAUUUAUGAAAGACGAACUACUGCGAAAGCAUUUGCCAAGGAUGUUUUCAUUAA
rnacentral:rRNA from 1 species